UAGCACCAUUUGAAAUCGGUGU
rnacentral:miRNA from 2 species